UACGAAGGGUGCAAGCGUUACUCGGAAUUACUGGGCGUAAAGCGUGCGUAGGUGGUUUGUUAAGUCUGAUGUGAAAGCCCUGGGCUCAACCUGGGAAUUGCAUUGGAUACUGGCAGGCUAGAGUGCGGUAGAGGAUGGCGGAAUUCCCGGUGUAGCAGUGAAAUGCGUAGAGAUCGGGAGGAACAUCUGCGGCGAAGGCGGCCAUCUGGACCAGCACUGACACUGAGGCACGAAAGCGUGGGGAGCAAACAGG
rnacentral:rRNA from 1 species